rnacentral:rRNA from 1 species
UACGGGGGGAGCAAGCGUUGUUCGGAUUUAUUGGGCGUAAAGAGCGUGUAGGCGGCCAGGUAGGUCCGUUGUGAAAACUCGAGGCUCAACCUCGAGACGCCGAUGGAAACCAUCUGGCUAGAGUCCGGAAGAGGAGAGUGGAAUUCCCGGUGUAGCGGUGAAAUGCGCAGAUAUCGGGAAGAACACCCGUGGCUAAGGCGGCUCUCUAGUACGGUACUGACGCUGAGACGCGAAAGCGUGGGGAGCGAACAGG